rnacentral:tRNA from 1 species
CGGGCUGUGGCUCAUGGUAGAGCGCUGCGUUCGGGACGCAGAGGCCGUGGGUUCAAAUCCCACCAGCCCGACCA